GAUGAACGCUGGCGGCGUGCCUAAUACAUGCAAGUCGAGCGAACGGACGAGAAGCUUGCUUCUCUGAUGUUAGCGGCGGACGGGUGAGUAGCACGUGGAUAACCUACCUAUAAGACUGGGAUAACUUCGGGAAACCGGAGCUAAUACCGGAUAAUAUUUUGAACCGCAUGGUUCAAAAGUGAAAGACGGUCUUGCUGUCACUUAUAGAUGGAUCCGCGCUGCAUUAGCUAGUUGGUAAGGUAACGGCUUACCAAGGCAACGAUGCAUAGCCGACCUGAGAGGGUGAUAGGCCACACUGGAACUGAGACACGGUCCAGACUCCUACGGGAGGCAGCAGUAGGGAAUCUUCCGCAAUGGGCGAAAGCCUGACGGAGCAACGCCGCGUGAGUGAUGAAGGUCUUCGGAUCGUAAAACUCUGUUAUUAGGGAAGAACAGAUGUGUAAGUAACUGUGCACAGCUUGACGGUACCUAAUCAGAAAGCCACGGCUAACUACGUG
rnacentral:rRNA from 1 species